rnacentral:rRNA from 1 species
CAAUAGCGUAUAUUAAAGUUGUUGCAGUUAAAAAGCUCGUAGUUGGAUUUCUGGUCGGAAGCUCCUGUCCUCUGAUGAGCGUACAAGUGCGUCCUACCAUCCUUCUGUUAACCUUUAAGGCUUUCGCGGCUUUCUAGGGGCUCAGAUAUUUUACCUUGAGAAAAUUAGAGUGUUUCAGGCAGGCUAGCGCCGGAAUACAUUAGCAUGGAAUAAUGGAAUAGGACUUUUGCCUCUUCUGUUGGUCAUGAGGCUCGAGUAAUGAUUAAUAGGGAUAGUUGGGGGCAUUAGUACUUAACUGUCAGAGGUGAAAUUCUCGGAUUUGUUAAAGACUAACUUAUGCGAAAGCAUUUGCCAAGGAUGUCUUCAUUAA